AACUUUAAUCUGAUAGAAGAUAUCGUAUGCGGAACCCAAGCCCGGCUAUGUCUGUACAUAAUAACGAAAGAAACCGGUUAUGCUGCGAGGGCGUUUAGCUCGAUAGAUGUUGAAAAUGCCCACAGCAUUAUAAAUCAUUUGGACCGCCGAGGGGUCCAAAACUCCUCAAUCGAAGAGCUUAGUAGACAUGUCAGCAACCUACAGAGACUUCAAAUUCUCAGGAAAACCUCUCUAGGACGGAAGCUUUAUACUCCGACAUCCACAAUUUACCACGCCCCUGAGAUCGACAAAGGUCUUUCUGAUAGAUUGACUUCCAGCCAAUUCGA